GAUGAACGCUGGCGGCGUGCCUAAUACAUGCAAGUCGAGCGAAUGGAUUAAGAGCUUGCUCUUAUGAAGUUAGCGGCGGACGGGUGAGUAACACGUGGGUAACCUGCCCAUAAGACUGGGAUAACUCCGGGAAACCGGGGCUAAUACCGGAUAACAUUUUGAACCGCAUGGUUCGAAAUUGAAAGGCGGCUUCGGCUGUCACUUAUGGAUGGACCCGCGUCGCAUUAGCUAGUUGGUGAGGUAACGGCUCACCAAGGCAACGAUGCGUAGCCGACCUGGGAGGGUGAUCGGCCACACUGGGACUGAGACACGGCCCAGAUUCCUACGGGAGGCAGCAGUAGGGAAUCUUCCGCAAUGGACGAAGGUCUGACGGAGCAACGCCGCGUGAGUGAUGAAGGCUUUCGGGUCGUAAAACUCUGUUGUUAGGGAAGAACAAGUGCUAGUUGAAUAAGCUGGCACCUUGACGGUACCUAACCAGAAAGCCACGGCUAACUACGUGCCAGCAGCCGCAGUAA
rnacentral:rRNA from 1 species